rnacentral:rRNA from 1 species
CCUACGGGCGACAGCAGUGAGGAAUAUUGGUCAAUGGGCGGAAGCCUGAACCAGCCAAGUAGCGUGCGGGAUGAAGGCCCUACGGGUCGUAAACCGCUUUUGCACGGGGAUAACACCCUCCACUUGUGGAGGUCUGCAGGUACCGUGCGAAUAAGGGCCGGCCAAUUCCGUGCCAGCAGCCGCGGUAAUACGGAAGGCCCGAGCGUUAUCCGGAUUCAUUGGGCUUACAGGGAGCGUAGGCGGGCGUUCAAGUCAGCUGUAAAAUCGCGCGGCUCAACCGCGCCCCGCAGUUGAAACUGGACGCCUUGAGUUCACUACAGGCAGGCGGACUUCGUGGUGUAGCGGU